CCCGGAUGUCCUACUGCUUCAGUCAAGAUUCUGAAGGGUUCGUUGAUGGAUACUUUUCAAUCCCAGAAUACCACGCGGAAAGCAUAAAUCGUCAUCGAACGUGAAGGAGAGCAGCGUAGAGGGUGUUUACAAAGGUGACAGCAGCAUCUGUGGAAAAAAACCUGAAAGCAAAAUAUAAAAGGAUCUGAAAUGUCUGCAGAGUGCUGUGUUUACUGAGGAUGGAGAAGAUGGAGUGCCAUGGGUGAAAUACUCCAUCACUGCAUCUCCUCUUGUUUUCUCAUCAGGACCAGAUGCUGCUGUGGUCUC